UUUCCGGUAGUGUAUCGGUUAGUACACGCGCCUGUCAUAAUCGGUGUUGGUAGAUCGCGCGAAAGCUGGGUUCGACUCCCAGCCAGAGAG